rnacentral:lncRNA from 1 species
CGCUGUUGCUCAACACAAGCUACACUCAAAUCCAAAACCGUUUCUCAGUUGGGUAAAAAAAAAAUUCCCUUGUCAUCCCAAUCUACGGAAAUUCAGCUUUUGAGCAGAUUGAUUUUUCCCAGAUUCCUGGUGAGCUGUGAUGGGGAUGUCUGUGUACAACAGAGUCUCUGCUGAGCACAUGAUGGGGCAGAGUGGAUGUCCCCACUGUGGCUGACACCAAAGACACCAGAGGACAGUGUGCAUGGAUGGCACUAUUUUACUAAAACUGUUGUGCCCGAGUCACAAGGAUCCCAAAGAGACCUGGGAGACAGACCACCAAUGCAAAUGCACAAGGUUGAUUAAAUUGUCUAUCCUACCAUGGGAGAGAUCCUGUCUAGCAAGCUGAUGCAGCAGCCUCCAAGGAGGCCCUGUCUACUGCUAGGUUUUAAAGUUACAGGAUUACAUCAGUAGUUGCCUGUGGAUCAAAGUUGUAAAAUUCUCAGGUCAUUCUCCAGCACCAUAUCUGCCUGCAUGCCACCAUGUCCCACCAUGAUGAUAAUGGACUGAAUCUCUAAACUGCAGCAGAACUUGGCAGCUUUGGCCAUGGGGUUCUGGAGUUAAGGAUAGAAGAAAGGGGCUGUGUAAUUUGCUUCCAAGAUUGAGGAAAGCCAUGGAGGCCAGGCAUCUGUCAAUGGAGGCCUAGAAAGGCUAUUUCGUGAAGCUGUGGAGUUGAAUCCUGUAUUGCCUUGAAGACCCAAGAUGCUGGGGAUGCCAGAGCUGUCAGAUACCUGCCAAGGACAGCUGCUAACAGGGAGUGGAGUCAGCCCAAGAGAAAGAAGUGUAUUGUGCUCAACAAAGCUGAAAAGAGUUGGAGAUCUGAAGAAUGCUUUGACAUCAGACAUGGAGAUAAAGAGUUUGGAGUUAGCCCAGCUGGUUUUCUUUCUUGCUUUGGUCCAGUAUUUCCUCACUAUGUUCCCUUCCUACAUUUUGGAACAGUACUGUAUAUCCUGUGCCAUUAUACAUUGGACAUAUAAUGUGAUCUGUUUUUUGAUUUAUAUUUUAUAGGGGACUAUAGACAAGUGACUUCAUAAAUCUCAGAAGAGACUUUGACCUUUGGACUUUUGAACAUUGUUGAGAUUGUGACAGACUAUGGGGACCUUUGAGAUUGGACUAAGUGCAUUUUGCAUUAUGAUAUUGUUAUAAGCUUGUGGGGCCAGGUAGUGGAAUGUGGUGGUUUGAAUGUUUACUGACUUCUAUUUAUAUGUUUCUCUGAACUCAAACAACCUUUGGUGGACCAUUCCUUUCUUUGUUACAUUUGUGUAGAAAAGUACACUGAAACUGAAGUAAGAUUGUCUGCAGCAUUAGACUGUAGUCCUCCCUGUUCUUUCAGAUCCCAGAUCCAGCAGACCAGAUCUGCUCAGAUCGACGGAAAAGCUGACAACUCAGGAUGCCAAAUGCUUUCUAAUGAAUACAGACCUGCUCCAUGACUUCUGCCCAGGUCUAUGUCCUCAGUGGACAGGAUCAGCUAGACUGCCAAGGUCCCAAUCAUUUCAAGACUAAGAAAUUAACAAAACCCAGGCAGAGCUGUGGCAGGCACCACAAGCCUGCUUUUGCCAAAAGCACUAUCUCUUCCUACAGAUGACCUACUGUAGGGGAAGCUGUAGCCACUAUAGGUCCGAGAAGAGAUCUGGAACUAGGGAUAUCUCCAGAGACCUACAUGGAUGACACAAUCUGACAAUCCAAGAAAUGGUGGAUAGGAUAACCUAAAAGCCCUUCCCCUAAAAUGAGAUUGAUGACUUCUCUUUAUGCCAUCCUAGAGGCCUCAUCCAGUUGCUGAUGGAAGCAGGACAGACAUCCACAGAUAUUCACUGAGCUGAAAUCGGGAAUUUAGUUGAAGAGAAGGGAGAAUGAAGAUUGAAGGGGUCUGUACCAGGUUGGAGAAAACCACAGAAACAGUUGGCCUGAACAAGUGAGAGCACAUCAACCCCAGAUGCUGUCUGGGAGGCCACUGCAGGGGUGAGGGGAGGGAGAGGGAGAAGGGACUUUCAUUUGAAACAAUCUUGUUGGCUAACUUGAACUAAUAAAAAUUUAAAAAUAAAUAAAGGAACUUCUGGAGGCAUCACCA